UAUUUAUACUCGCCUCCGACGCGGAAUUUCUCCGCUGAAGAUCGUAAUUUUGGCGGCCAUGGAUGCGAUCUUCGACGCCAUUUCAUAAACUUCCCUACUUUUCCUUUCAGUUCUCGUUUCUAAUUAGUUUUUAUUCAUGUUAAAUAGUUUGGUUUUACAUCUGAUUGUUUAUUGAUGUUCUCGUAUAAUCAAUCGAUGUUUGCCUGUCUUAUGAAGAUCUUUAUUGGUUUAAUCUCUGUUUUAAUUUACGAAAUUUGAAUCCAGACGUUAGUCAGGUGUGCAUUGAUUAUGCAAUAGUGUAUGCUGUUACAUGUCUGGGAUAGAAAAGAUGGAGGAAGUGAGCGAUGGAUGGGGUUCCCCAUUUUGUCAUCUCGGUUUCUCCUGGAGGAUUGGAUUUUCGACCCCUAUCUGUGGGGUUUUGUGUCUGAAUUUGUAGAUUUGGUUGCGCCCCAAACGUACACAGACAUCCACUGCUAUCACUUGCGGAGAUGAAUAUGUUGUAAUGUGUCUGGCAGAGAAAAUUGCGUGCUUAUCAUUGCUUGGUGAUCGGAUUAUCGAUGGUUGCAAGAGCUACAUCUAAGCACCAUAUGUUGGAAAGUUUUUAGUGUAAUUGGUGUUAAGAUUUUUGCCAAUUAUUUGAUUCAUGAAUUGCUAUAAUAUAUUUGAAGCAUUUAAUGUGAUAUAAAUAUAAUGUUAGAAGAUAA